rnacentral:rRNA from 1 species
UACGUAGGGUGCAAGCGUUGUCCGGAAUUAUUGGGCGUAAAGAGCUCGUAGGCGGUUUGUCGCGUCUGCUGUGAAAACCCGAGGCUCAACCUCGGGCCUGCAGUGGGUACGGGCAGACUAGAGUGCGGUAGGGGGAGAUUGGAAUUCCUGGUGUAGCGGUGGAAUGCGCAGAUAUCAGGAGGAACACCAAUGGCGAAGGCAGACUCUGGGCCGUAACUGACGCUGAGGAGCGAAAGCGUGGGGAGCGAACAGG